rnacentral:rRNA from 1 species
AUGCGCAUCCGCAGGUGCGCCUCCCGCCUGCUUGGCUCCGCCGCAGCCGCACCCGCCAUCAGCUGCUCCUCCACUGAGCCACCGCGAUUCGAGCUGCCCCCGCUCGCGCCGUCGGCCCCAGCCCACGAAUCCCGGCCCGGCUUCGUGGCGCCCGAGGCCUCCUCCUCCGGGGAGCCCUGCUGCGAGCUCAGCCGGUCGCCGUGGGACCUCAUGGACGAGCUCGACCUCUCGGAUCCCCAGGUGGAGAAGCUCUUCAAGGAGACUUACUUCAUCGGUGUCACCUGGCGAUCUAACUGGCUAUUCCUACCCAGAAUGCCUGCAUUCGGCUCUAUCAAGGAGGACCAGGAGCAGGAGGACAUGUCCGAUGGGGUUGAACUGCACAUUGCUGCAAAAAAGACAGCCAGAGAGAGGAAUGAGAGCAAGCUGAAGAAAAAUAAGGGGGUGAAAGUGAAGAAAGGAGUCUGGACGUGCAGGAAGAACGACGGCAAGGGUUGGUUCUGCCGACGGCUCACGAGAGAGCCCAACUCCUAUUGCUCGUACCACUCGGAUCUGAAGCUGAAGCCCCCCGGCAGCGAGAAGCCACAUAGGAAGAGAGCCCCGGUCAAUGUCGGCGAGGGGUUCUACUACUAUGCCGGGUUCGGCCCCGGCACCAAGAGGCGCCGCACGUCAAGCAGCGAUAGCGUGCUAGAACCUCCACUGCCUGCUGAACCACUGAAGGAGGAGGCACCAUCCGAAAUGCAACUUGAUUUUAGUGCAGCUCAGGUACAAGCGAAUGAAUCAGCCCAUCAAGGGGUGCUUCCACCAUCAGCACACGUCGUCGAUGACAAGCCCGCUCUCAACAAUUGCACCAUCGGGAUCAGCAGUAAAGAUGACGUGCCAGAACCUCCACUGCCUACUGAAACACCGGAAGAAGAGGCCUCGAAAGAGGAGGCACAGACCGAAAUGCAACUUAAUUUUAGUGCAGGUCAGGCACAAGCUGAUGACUUAGACCAUCAAGCAGCGCCAGUAUCAGUAAGUGUGGUCGACGAGCCUACACGCAACAAUGCCACUGCUUGGAUCGCAGGCCGGGAUGAGGAGAGCAGCAGCGAUGACAUGCUUGGCUGCAAUGGCGAACAACCCCGCGACAUCACCAAGAGGAAGAGCCCGUUGAAGAAGAGGUGGAGAAAGCCAGUGAAAGCCCGGUCGCUCAAGUCACUAAUGUCGUAG